rnacentral:misc_RNA from 1 species
AAAGUCGUAACAAGGUUUCCGUAGGUGAACCUGCGGAAGGAUCAUUAGCGAACGACGAGGGGCGCCGUCCUUCGGGGCGCGUUUCGCCCCUCUCUCUUCGUCACCCUGUGCAUCGAGCCCCCUUUUUUAAACGCAGUAGAGUCGAGGAUGUCGAAAAAGUGAAAACCUAUACAAAAUGAAGCAACGGAUCUCUUGGCUCUC